rnacentral:lncRNA from 1 species
CAGGACACAUAUACCUCCAUUUUGAUGUAUUAUUUGUGUCAGUGGAGUGAGAUUUGUGGGCGUGGGAGCGAUAUAUUCGAGCGAGGUUCUGUCGAUCAGAGACGAGGUCUGCACUCUAGCUGAUGACAUCAUCACUCUAAACUCUCCAAUACACACCCAUUAUAAAGCUUGAAAUUUGCUGAAAACCACAAGUUGCAUAAAGCUAAAUUGUGGAAGAACUGUAAAAGAUAUCAAAAAACUGAGUACAACUAUAAUAGUCGACAAGUGAAUGAACAUUUUAAAGCAAAAAUGAGGUCUCUAGGUGAAAGUAUGCUGAAGUUAUAAGGUCUAGAAGGUGGAAGAAUGAAAGGAAGAAGUUGAAGAUUUCCCCAUUGACUUCAAUGUUAAAAUUUUUGCACAAAAAGUUAAAAAAAACAAAAAGUAUAAAGGGUAGAAAGAAAAAAAAUACACGCAAUAAUGUCCUGAAGGAGUGGAAUAGUUUAAAGUUUGAAUGGUUGAAAUCGGACAAAGUUUGAAGGAGGAGAAGCGGUCCAAAAAAGGGACGGAAGAAUAAUAAUAACUAGAAAAAUUGCAUUUCCUUGCAGAAAAUGCGUGGAAAUGCUGAGUGCUGAAAGCUGAAAAAGCAAUGCUAAACUGCUAAUAAAACAUGGAGAAAGGUAUCAAUGUUAAAGCUGUUGAAGGGGUGAGAAAGAAAUGUAAGUUGGAUAAUUGAUUAAUUGGUUGAAGGACAAAUAGUAUGAAUAUGCUCUAUAAAAGAAAAUUCUAUUCAUGCUGAAAGAGGCUAGAAAAAUGUCUAAAAUUGCACAAAGUUUGAAUGAAGAAGGAAAUUGCCUUAAAAGGCAGGAAGGUGAGAAGUGGCAUAAGUUUAAGUUUUUAAGUAUAAGAAAGGUUUGAAUCAGUUUGAAUCAGUUCAAAUUAGUUUGAAAAAUUAAAUGAUAAAUCAUCACUGAGUGACUUUAAAAUGUGAAAAAUCUAAAUGAAUAAAAAUCCUAAAUACACCCCAUAAUGUCCUCAAUGAGCUUUCAUUUUAAAGCCCUGAAUGGUUUCUGUAGGUCAAAGGUCAUGUGAGGAGAUAGGGGCUUAGGUUUUUUCAAGCACUCUAGUAAAGGGUUUUAAGUGUCACCCCAAGUGCUAUGUGUUCUGAGCCUGGCUUCAUUUGUCUCAUAUGGCCAUUAGAAGCAGCUUUCCAGUCAGCUGUGUGUCUCCAGGUGCACAAAUUGGUUGCCAUGGGGACCUUGGAUGAAUAACUAUAGCAGGAGAAAGAAGGCUUGAAGCUAAGGAAACAGGACUCCAAGUAGGCCCUGACGCUCAUCCUCUGUAUAAAUUCAUAAGGAGCUUGUGAGAACACAAGAUUUUGCUGAACACAUUAAUACAAUUUAUUAUCACAAUCCUCAAAACACCCCAUAAUAUCUUCAAUGAGCUGAAUUUUUCAAGCCCAGAAUGGUUUCUGUAGCUCAAAGUUUGUGGGUGGAGAUAGGUGAUGAAGCAGACACAUAUUACCUGUGUGUACAAGCAGGUGAACUGCCAGGUAGACCUGACAAUGCAAAUAGUACAAGAAUGUGUGUGUGUGUGUGUGUGUGUGUGUGUGUGUGUGUGUGUGUGUGUGUGUGUGUGUGUGUGUGUUAAUGACUGCAUCCUAAACAGCUGUGAGAUCAAAGCAUUAACUAACCUAUUGUUUGAAUGGAGAAGCUGCCGAACUGCAGUGAAUUUAGGGUUCUGAACUUCUUCACAUAGCACGAUUUCCUUAAAUCCCAGAAUGAAAAUAAGAACAUCGUACGAAUCCUCCAUCCUUUAUGAACACAAUGAUCUGUUUUUCAUGUCUGUACUCCGAAAAAUGUGGCCACAACAGCGAGUUAAAAAAGUCUGAGCCUGAGUGACGAUAAGGAUUUUCUUGGAGAAAAAAUACAUUAGGGCCAAUGGGGAGAGAUUUGCGCCUAUUUGGACAGUUGGUCACCUGCUGGCCAAGGGGUAGGAUUUAAUGAUUUGAAACCUCUUUUGUGAGAAGCAGGACACAUAUACCUCCAUUUUGAUGUAUUUUUUAUGGCUGUGGAGUGAGAUUUGUGGGCGUGGGAGCGAUAUAUUCGAGCGAGGUUCUGUCGAUCAGAGACGAGGUCUGCACUCUAGCUUUUCAAAUCAUCACUCUAGCCUCUCCAAUACACCCCCAUUAUAAAGCCUGAAAUUUGCUGAAAACCAUAAGUUGCAUAAAGCUAAAUUGUGGAAAAACUGUAAAAGAUAGCAAAAAAAAGUUAAUACAACAUCAAUAGUCGACAAGACAAUGAACAUUUUAAAGCAAA